AUUGAACGCUGGCGGCAGGCCUAACACAUGCAAGUCGAGCGAGCGGCGGACGGGUGAGUAAUGUCUGGGUAACUUCCUGUUGGAGGGGGAUAACUCCUGGAAACGGUAGCUAAUUCCGCAUACCAUCAGAUGUGCCCAGAUGGGAUGGGCUAGUAGGUGGGGUAAUGGCUCACCUGGGCGACGAUCCCUAGCUGGUCUGAGAGGAUGACCAGCCAGACUGGAACUGGGACACGGGCCAGACGCCUACGGGAGGUAGCAGUGGGGAAUAUUGCACAAAGGGCGCAAGCCUGAUGCAGCCAUGCCGCGUGUGUGGAGAAGGCCUUCGGGUUGUAAGGCACUUUAAGCGGGGAGGCGUUACCCGCAGAAGAAGCACCGGCUAACUACGUGCCAGCAGCCGCGGUAAUUC
rnacentral:rRNA from 1 species